AACCACUCUAAAAUCGCGGUGCUCUCUGGUUUGCAUUUACUUUGAGCAUAUUAUCUUUACUGCAAACCUCCUCAAUAGCUUACUACCUUCUGCGCUUUUACGAUCGUGUUUCAAAGUUCAGUAUUUUCCGAAUCGGUGUUUAGACGUAAAUCAGUUUUAUCGUACGAACAUCAUAUUUCAGUUUGCGCUUACAUUCUGAUUUUCAUC
rnacentral:lncRNA from 1 species